CGCGCCUGGCUCUCCUCCCCGGGGCGGGGCCUGCGGAGGCCGCCGGGGCGCAGCGCGCUGGGGAGCGGGUUGGGGGCUGCUAGGGCUGCGGGGCGGGAAGGAGGCGGCAGUGUGUGUGUGUGUGUGUGUGUGUGUGUGUGGGCAGGUGUGUGUGUGUGUGUACGUGUGUGCGCGCGCGCCCUGCAGCGGCCGGCCAGCCGGAGGGAAGACCCCGGCGGGAAGACUGCGUCCCGUCCGGCCUUCCCGGGCCUGUCACUUGGGCGGUGGCGUGGGAGCGGCGAGGCUGCUCGGGGGGCAGCCGGGUGGGCCCAGCUCUAGGGGAGAUUCGGGUCAGCCCCUGAGCCCAGCCUCCCGGCUGUGCCUGCUGGAAGCAGACGGAGGGAAGGCCGGGCGUCUUUGGCCCACCGCGCGGCCGCUCCCCUCCCGGGCCAGGCUGAACGGGCGGGCGCAGCCCAGAGGCCCGGGCUCUGCCACCGAUCCGCCUCCAUACUGACCCGAGCUGCGGCGCCUGCAAGAUUAAUGAAGCAUCCGCGAUUCGGUAGAGGCGGCACGGGGAGGAAAGACACAAGAUCGUGCUGCCCCCCUCUCCCCACCCUUCUCAGCCUCCUAGGACCUAAAGGCGUAGGCUGCGUCUGCUGGGCGCGUCCGGAGUGGUCCAGAGAGAUCGCCAUCCACCACUGCAUCCGUCCAGUUCUUUGUGGACCCUCACAGAAGCUCAAUCAAUUUCCCACCCUCUGGAAAAGGGGAUGGGGUCUGCUGCCAAGGCUGGAUUCGAACUCCUGAACCCAAGAGAUCCUCCUCAAGGGAUCUUCCCCAUCUCAGCCUCCCAAGUAGCUGGGACUACAGGCCAAUUCCACCGCACCCUGCCUAACAUCACAUUGUUCAGGAACCUCAACUUACAUUCCAUUUUUACAAAAUAUCCAUAUUCUGGUUCAUACUUCUUGGAGCCCAAAUUUUUUGUAGUCUAGCCUCUUGGAAAGGAGCGGUUAAGAAGGGAGGGUAGAUAAAUUGAGAUUUCAAUCAGGGGCAGCCAGCCCCAUCCCUUUCACCACUGGUGACUUGUUUCAUUUCUUCUUUCUUUCCUCAUCUGUAAAGGCAUUGAUAAUGAUCGUUCCUACCUCAUAAGCUUGUGAAAGUAAAAAGAAAAUAAAACGAGGUGGCAAUGCAUGUAAAACACUUUGCAUAGUGCCUGACACAUGGGUGAGAACUCAAUAAAUAGAAGCUAUUGUUUCAGACUUGAUUAUUUUAAACUCAAAUUUGGUAGAAUUUUAUUCUCUUUCCAUUCCUUCUGAAAAGUUAGGGAGGAGAAUGGACACAGCUGAUGGAUUUAUUCAAAUGUAGUCCACUCUUCCCUUGGGUUUUUACGCCCUGCCUGAAACUUUUGCCUGUGGUAAAAUGAAAUAAAUACAUAACUGAGGGGUGUGUGUGUG
rnacentral:lncRNA from 10 species